GUUUGACUGCCUUGUGCCUGCAGGCCAACAUGCUGCUUGGGGCAUCUUUGGUGGGGUUGAUGGUGUUCUCCAAGCUGGUGCUGAGACUACCCUGGACCCAAGUGGGGUUCUCCCUGCUGCUUCUCUACUUGGGAUCUGGUGGCUGGCGCUUCAUCCGGAUCUUCAUCAAGACCUUCAGGCGUGAUAUCUUGUGAGUACUGGUCCAGUUCUUCCUGAGUUUCACCCUUCCUGGG
rnacentral:lncRNA from 1 species